UACGUAGGGGGCAAGCGUUGUCCGGAAUCAUUGGGCGUAAAGAGCUCGUAGGCGGCUCGUUGCGUCGGCUGUGAAAACCCGCAGCUCAACUGUGGGCUUGCAGCCGAUACGGGCGGGCUGGGAUUCGGUAGGGGAGACUGGAAUUCCUGGUGUAGCGGUGAAAUGCGCAGAUAUCAGGAGGAACACCGGUGGCGAAGGCGGGUCUCUGGGCCGAUAUCGACGCUGAGGAGCGAAAGCGUGGGGAGCGAACAGG
rnacentral:rRNA from 1 species